AGAACGAACGCUGGCGGCAUGCCUAACACAUGCAAGUCGAACGAAGUCUUCGGACUUAGUGGCGCACGGGUGCGUAACGCGUGGGAAUCUGCCUUGGGUGCGGAAUAACUUCUCGAAAGGGAUGCUAAUACCGCAUAAUGUCGUAAGACCAAAGAUUUAUCGCCCAAGGAUGAGCCCGCGUAAGAUUAGCUAGUUGGUGGGGUAAAAGCCUACCAAGGCGACGACCUUUAGCUGGUCUGAGAGGAUGAUCAGCCACACUGGGACUGAGACACGGCCCAGACUCCUACGGGAGGCAGCAGUGGGGAAUAUUGGACAAUGGGCGAAAGCCUGAUCCAGCAAUGCCGCGUGAGUGAUGAAGGCCCUAGGGUUGUAAAGCUCUUUUACCAGGGAUGAUAAUGACAGUACCUGGAGAAUAAGCUCCGGCUAACUCCGUG
rnacentral:rRNA from 1 species